rnacentral:tRNA from 1 species
UGGGCUGUGGCUCAGUGGUAGAGUACUUGUCUCUCCCACGUGAGGCACUGGGUUCGAUUCUCAGCACCGCAU